ensembl:lncRNA
GGAGGUACAGUAGCAGGGGAAUCGGCAGAGGUACAGUAGCAGUAUGUGUUAUCCAGGGAAUGAUGUAUCUAUGAGAUGGAGGUCAGUAUGUGUUAUCCAGGGAAUGAUGUAUCUAUGAGAUGGGGGCCAGUCUCCCAGUCUCCCGGUCUCCCGGUCUCCCGGUCUCCCAGUCUCCCAGUCUCCCGGUCUCCCGGUCUUCCAGUCUCCCUCCUCUCAUCCACCCCAGGGUGAUAUCCCUCCUGCUGAUAUCCUUGUCUACUGCUAAGAGAGAAUACUCUCUCAUCUUCCGCGCCCCCCUUUAAUCUUCUCAUCAACACGGAGAUUACACAGUGCCGCGCUUGUAAGAACUAGGAACACAGCGCACAACGAGGGGCGCGGAGGGAACAGAAAGGGGUAGAUAAGAAAGAAGAGGACACAGAGAGGGAGAGAGGAGAAAGAGAGAUGGAAAGAAGAGAGAGAAAGAAGAGAGAGAGUAAAAUAGAGAGAGUAAAGGAGAGAGCGAGAGAGAGGGGGAGAGAUGAAGAGUAAAAUAGAGAGAGUAAAGGAGAGAGAGAGAGGGAAAGAAGAGAGUAAAAUAGAGAGAGUAAAGGAGAGAGAGAGAGAGGGAGAGAUGAAGAGUGCAUCAGAGGGUGUGACGUACUAUCACCCAUCAUUAGCUCUGUUUACACACGUACCACAGGAGGAAAGGUCACCAUCCCCACAGUGUCUUUUCGCCUCGGUGACAAUAUGUUAUCUUUCCUCUCAGCGGCUCUGACUAACCCCAGAUCAGUGUCUGCAUCUCUAACGGCACCCUGUUCCCUGUGGGCCCUCGUUGCACCCUGUUCCCCGUGGGCCCUCGUUGCACCCUGUUCCCCGUGGGCCCUCGUUGCACCCUGUUCCCCGUGGGCCCUCGUUGCACUGCGUAAGGAAUAGUGUGCCAUUUGGGACGGGAUCAGUUUCUAGGGGCUGCCAACCGGUAAUCCUGUUGGAUUGUCGGAUAUAAGGGCAGAGGGCCUGGAGGACACAGAAGAGAGUCAUGUGGGUUCAAGACCAAGGGAGGAGGAGUGGAGGGGUGGAAGACAAGUGGAAUAGCAGGAAGAUUGGAGGUGUGGUGGAAGGGUGGAAUAGCAGCAGGAGGAACAGUGGAAGGGAGGUGGAAUAGCAGCAGGAGGAACAGUGGAAUGGAGGUGGAAUAGCAGCAGGAGGAACAACAGUAGAAGGGAGGUGGAAUAGCAG